rfam:Octopus bimaculoides Scaffold126723_contig_7, whole genome shotgun sequence.
GCCUGCAUAGCUCAGUUGGUAGAGCAUCAGACUUUUAAUCUGAGGGUCGCGGGUUCGAGUCCCUCUGCGGGUG